rnacentral:rRNA from 1 species
CAGCCGCCGCGGUAAUACCGGCGGCCCGAGUGGCGGCCACUCUUAUUGGGCUUAAAGCGUCCGUAGCCGGGUUGGUUAGUCUCCCGGGAAAUCUGGCCGCUUAACGGUCAGAAUUCCGGGAGAUACUGCCAGCCUAGGGACCGGGAGAGGCCGAGGGUAUUCCCGGAGUAGGGGUGAAAUCCUAUAAUCCCGGGAGGACCACCUGUGGCGAAGGCGCUCGGCUGGAACGGGUCCGACGGUGAGGGACGAAGGCCAGGGGAGCAAACCGGAUUAGAUACCCGGGUAGUCCUGGCUGUAAACGAUGCGGACUUUGUGUCGGACAAGCUAUGAGCUUGUCCGGUGCCGGAGGGAAACCGUUAAGUCCGCCGCCUGGGGAGUACGGCCGCAAGGUUGAAACUUAAAGGAGUUGGCGGG